rnacentral:rRNA from 1 species
CCUACGGGUGGCAGCAGUGAGGAAUAUUGGUCAAUGGCCGGAAGGCUGAACCAGCCAAGCCGCGUGAAGGACGACGGUGCCAAGCAUUGUAAACUUCUUUUGUCAAGGGAUAAAAUCAGGCACGAGAGCCUGACCGAGGGUACUUGAAGAAGAAGCAUCGGCUAACUCCGUGCCAGCAGCCGCGGUAAUACGGAGGAUGCGAGCGUUAUCCGGAUUUAUUGGGUUUAAAGGGUGCGUAGGCGGACUGUUAAGUCAGCGGUAAAAGCCCGGGGCUCAACCCCGGCGAGCCGUUGAAACUGGCUGGCUUGAGAGGGCGAGAGGUAUGCGGAAUGCGCGGUGUAGCGGUGAAAUGCUUAGAUAUCACGCAGAACUCCGAUUGCGAAGGCAGCAUACCGGCGCCGAUCUGACGCUGAGGCACGAAAGCGUGGGUAUCGAACAGGAUUAGAUACCCUUGUAGUC